GUGGCCUAGUGGUUAGAGCGUCCGCCUGGGUUGCGGGAGGUUGUGGGUUCGAUCCCCGGUCCAGUCA